GUCUGUUUGACCUUUAUUUAAGCUCAGAGGCCUGUUGUUAGAAUUGAGAUGAUCUUUCGAGGCGCCAUGACAUUUGAAUUAUUUACAAUAUUAAUUAUUUACAAGAAAAUAUGAAACUAUAUACAUAACAUGAUGACUGUGAAUUAAGUUUUCUCGAUUAAACGACCGUGGAAGAUAAGAUGGGCCUAUAAUUUGUGGAAUAUUUUGAACAUUAGGCAAGAUUUCAUUUUUUUUAAAUUUGGAAAGAGCGUAUUUCAUAAUAGACAACUUGCAUGUUAGACAAAUUUUUUAUUUAGGCAAGAAAAAGUAAAUUCCUGUAAAGAACUUAUUAAAAUCAGUAAAAUUGGAAAAUUUGGUUGUGAAAUGUUGUAAAAUGCAGAAAAUAUAGCCUUGCGAAGUUUGCAAUUUUCAGUCAUUUUGUAUUACGUGCGGAAAUUGUUACCAUUUUCGAGCCGAAAAUGUAACAAUUUUCGCACGUAAUACAAAUAUGCUAAAAAUAUGCAAACUUGGCAAGGGGUUAGGUUAAAACGCGGAAACGGAUGCGGAACGGAUGGGGUUAAAAUGCGGAACGGAACGGAUAUGGGGUUAAAAUGCGGAACGGAACGGAUAUGGGGUUAAAAUGCGGAACGGAACGGAUAUGGGGUUAAAAUGCGGAAUGGAACGGAUAUGGGGUUAAAAUGCGGAACGGAACGGAUAUGGGGUUAAAAUGCGGAACGGAUAUGGGGUUAAAAUGCGGAACGGAACGGAUAUGGGGUUAAAACGUAACCCGAGGUUUAGGCCCUAAUUUUAAAUAGGGUCUGACACAAAACCUGUCUAGACCGUGGGACGCCCACAUGUUAUUUUUAGACAUAGUCAUGCGAUAUGAUUGACAAGUGUUGUAGAUUUCAUUGCACAAAAAAUUUAUAUUCUUAUGAACAUGUCCGCAGAGUGCGCCUUUUGCUUUUUAAUUAAAAAGCAAAAUGCGCACUCUGCGGACAUGUUCAUGAGAAUAUAAUUUUUUUGUGCAAUGAAUGUGUCAGAUCCUAUUUAAAAUUAGGGCCUAAACUGCAGGUUACGAUUUAACCCCAUAUCCAUUCCGUUCCGUUCCGCAUUUUACCCCAUAUCCGUUCUGUUCCGCAUUUUAACCCCAUCUGUUCUGUUCCGCAUUUUAACCCCAUCCGUUCCGUAUUUUAACCCCAUCCGUUCCGUUCCGCAUCCGCGUUUUAACCUAACCCACUUCGCAAGGCUAUAUUUUCUGCAUUUUACAACAUUUCGCAACUAAAUUUUGAAAUUUUACUAAUUUUGUUAUUUUCUUU